rnacentral:rRNA from 1 species
UACGAAGGGGGCUAGCGUUGUUCGGAAUCACUGGGCGUAAAGGGCGCGUAGGCGGUGCGGUAAGUCUGUAGUGAAAUCUCUGGGCUCAACUCAGAGUCUGCUGCAGAAACUGCCGUGCUUGAGUGUGGGAGAGGUGAGUGGAACUGCGAGUGUAGAGGUGAAAUUCGUAGAUAUUCGGAAGAACACCAGUGGCGAAGGCGGCUCACUGGCCCGGUACUGACGCUGAGGUGCGAAAGCGUGGGGAGCAAACAGG